rnacentral:miRNA from 18 species
CCAGCUCUGACAUUCUAUGAUC